rnacentral:lncRNA from 12 species
GUUUGUCUCAUUUUUAGGAAGUUUGCACUGAUGCUGGAUGAUUGUUUUGAAGUGUCCCUUUACACCAGGCAGUCAUAAGGUAGGAGCUGUUACACCAAGGAAGGUGAAACAAGACCGAAGUGCACCCUGGCUUUGAUGCACAUACACGUCGUUGUAGUCAGGGAUCCAGGGAUAUGGACCGCUUCUAAAUUAGCCUGCUAGGUGGUGCUGUAGGACACGCUCUGCCUUGCUCGUUCAGGAAUAUGUUCCAGUUCUCUCGCAUAUUUUACCAUAAAACCGAGGCACCUACCGUCAUCUGCCUCUCUAACUUGCAAUCUAUAUGUAUGAAGCAUUGUUG